GAGAUCAAGUAUUUGAAGACUUGUAAGAUUUGUUAGAUUGUUUGGAAUUGGCCCUUGAAAAGAAUUAUUCCUCAGAUUCAAAAUUUGAAGAGUGGACAUAUGAGAAAGGAAAGCUGGGAUUUCACCUGUGAUCUUAUUAUCAUGGACACCAAGGCAUGCAAGUUCACUUAAAUUCAUCAAGUUCGGAGGUAGGACACCAGAAAACUCAUUAUGGCUUAGUAGUAGAACCACUAUCCGUUCAUAGAACGCAACAGGAAGACCACCGCAAAA
rnacentral:misc_RNA from 1 species